rnacentral:rRNA from 1 species
AACGAACGCUGGCGGCAGGCCUAACACAUGCAAGUCGAACGCCGUAGCAAUACGGAGUGGCAGACGGGUGAGUAACACGUGGGAACGUACCCUUCGGUUCGGAAUAACUCAGGGAAACUUGAGCUAAUACCGGAUACGUCCGAGAGGAGAAAGAUUUAUCGCCGAGGGAUCGGCCCGCGUCUGAUUAGCUUGUUGGUGAGGUAACGGCUCACCAAGGCGACGAUCAGUAGCUGGCUGAGAGGAUGAUCAGCCACAUUGGGACUGAGACACGGCCCAAACUCCUACGGGAGGCAGCAGUGGGGAAUAUUGGACAAUGGGCGCAAGCCUGAUCCAGCCAUGCCGCGUGAGUGAUGAAGGCCCUAGGGUUGUAAAGCUCUUUUACCCGGGAAGAUAAUGACUGUACCGGGAGAAUAAGCCCC